rnacentral:rRNA from 1 species
UACGUAGGGUCCGAGCGUUGUCCGGAAUUAUUGGGCGUAAAGAGCGUGUAGGCGGUCCGGUAAGUCAGCUGUGAAAGUCAAGGGCUCAACCCUUGAAAGCCGGUUGAUACUGUCGGGCUAGAGUCCGGAAGAGGCGAGUGGAAUUCCCGGUGUAGCGGUGAAAUGCGCAGAUAUCGGGAGGAACACCAAUGGCGAAGGCAGCUCGCUGGGACGGUACUGACGCUGAGACGCGAAAGCGUGGGGAGCAAACAGG